UUGCUUAGGCAGCAAAUACACUAAAAUUGGAAUGAUACAGAGAAAAUUAGCAUGGCCCCUGCACAGGGAUGACAUGCAAAUUCACAAAGUGUUCCAUAUUUGU
rnacentral:snRNA from 2 species